UGGAGAUGGACGAAGCUGGAAACAGGAGAACCACCAUGGAGAGAUGGUAUGGCAGAGAAAUCAGGAGAGGGAAAGACUGAAGCCAAGGAAAAGGAGUCACGUGCUUAAGGCCAAGGAACAGGACGCUUUCUGAACAGAAGAUGACACUUUUCACUUGCAAGUACAAGAAACCAGCUGGGCAUGAUGACGCACACCUGUAAUCCCAGCACUCAGGAAGGCAGAGGCAGGUGGAUCACCAUGAGUUUAAGGCCAGCCUGUUCUACAGAGUGAGUCCAGGACAGCCACAGCUACACAGAGAAACCGUCUCAAAAACAAAACAAAGCAGAACAGAACAAAACAAAAAGCAAAGACAAAAACAACAACAAAAAAAGCAAGUACACGAAUAAACUUAAGGAA